rnacentral:rRNA from 1 species
UACGAAGGGGGCUAGCGUUGCUCGGAAUCACUGGGCGUAAAGCGCACGUAGGCGGCUUACUAAGUCAGGGGUGAAAUCCUGGAGCUCAACUCCAGAACUGCCUUUGAUACUGGUGAGCUUGAGUCCGGAAGAGGUGAGUGGAACUGCGAGUGUAGAGGUGAAAUUCGUAGAUAUUCGCAAGAACACCAGUGGCGAAGGCGGCUCACUGGCCCGUAACUGACGCUGAGGCACGAAAGCGUGGGGAGCAAACAGG